GUGGGGAAUUUUGGACAAUGGGCGCAAGCCUGAUCCAGCAAUGCCGCGUGCAGGAAGAAGGCCUUCGGGUUGUAAACUGCUUUUGUACGGAACGAAACGGUCCGGGUUAAUACCCUGGGCUAAUGACGGUACCGUAAGAAUAAGCACCGGCUAACUACGUGCCAGCAGCCGCGGUAAUACGUAGGGUGCAAGCGUUAAUCGGAAUUACUGGGCGUAAAGCGUGCGCAGGCGGUUUUGUAAUACAGGCGUGAAAUCCCGGGGCUCAACCUGGGAAUUGCGCUUGUGACUGAAAGGCUGGAGUGCGGCAGAGGGGGAUGGAAUUCCGCGUGUAGCAGUGAAAUGCGUAGAUAUGCGGAGGAACACCGAUGGCGAAGGCAAUCCCCUGGGCCUGCACUGACGCUCAUGCACGAAAGCGUGGGGAGCAAACAGGAUUAGAUACCCGUGUAGUCC
rnacentral:rRNA from 1 species